rnacentral:tRNA from 1 species
AUUUACAUAGUAUAAAAAAUACAUUUGACUUCCAAUCAAAAAUUCUAUUAAAAUAGUUUAAAUA